rnacentral:rRNA from 1 species
GACGAACGCUGGCGGCGUGCUUAACACAUGCAAGUCGAACGGAAAGGCCCUGCUUUUGUGGGGUGCUCGAGUGGCGAACGGGUGAGUAACACGUGAGUAACCUGCCCUUGACUUUGGGAUAACUUCAGGAAACUGGGGCUAAUACCGGAUAGGAGCUCCUGCUGCAUGGUGGGGGUUGGAAAGUUUCGGCGGUUGGGGAUGGACUCGCGGCUUAUCAGCUUGUUGGUGGGGUAGUGGCUUACCAAGGCUUUGACGGGUAGCCGGCAUGAGAGGGUGACCGGCCACAUUGGGACUGAGAUACGGCCCAGACUCCUACGGGAGGCAGCAGUGGGGAAUAUUGCACAAUGGGCGGAAGCCUGAUGCAGCAACGCAGCGUGCGGGAUGACGGCCUUCGGGUUGUAAACCGCUUUCGCCUGUGACGAAGCGUGAGUGACGGUAAUGGGUAAAGAAGCACCGGCUAACUACGUG